rnacentral:misc_RNA from 1 species
GAUGAAGAACGUAGCGAAAUGCGAUAAGUAGUGUGAAUUGCAGAAUUCAGUGAAUCAUCGAAUCUCUGAACGCACAUUGCGCCCCUUGGUAUUCCAUGGGGCAUGCCUGUUCGAGCGUCAUUUGUACCUUCAAGCUUUGCUUGGUGUUGGGUGUUUGUCCAUUCUCUUGCAGAGGGACUCGCCUUAAAGUAAUUGGCAGCCAGUGUUUUGGUUUUGAAGCGCAGCACAAGUCGCGAUUCAAAGCUAUACGCCCGCUUCCACAAGCCUUUUUCACUUUUGACCUCGGAUCAGGUAGGGAUACCCGCUGAACUUAAGCAUAUCAAUAAGCGGAGGA